AUGUCUCCGGACAUUGCCAAAUGGCAAAGCUGCUCCUGGUUAGAAACCAAUGGUUUAGAAGACUAUAGGAACUCAAGGCAAGUUCGUGGAUGUGCCUGUGCUCUGAUGGAGGACCCUUUAAAUGAAUCUUCUUCAGCCAUGUACUCAGAGCCACUCUUCUAUCAGCAAGAGUUCUCAGUUGCAAGCAGUGAAAAUCAACUCUGGCACCUUCACGAGUUGGUAUUGGAGGCUCUAGAAUCAGCAGACACAAAAGGUCCAGAUUUGAAAGAUUGUUGGACUUGGAAGCUAGACAGGCAUAAAAGAAUUCUCUGAUUGUCAGGGAGACAAAUUGCAAAAAAGCAAACAUUCAGUUUUUGGAAGACAGCCAUGUUGUACCAUCCAUCAGUACCUUUUACCACCAAUGCUGGACAGUACAGUGACUUCAAGUGAGCUCUAAUCCUCAUUCAUCUGAGCAACUUUGCUGGACUCUAGGGGCAGGAAAGAGGGAGGGUAUCCCCCCCUACCCACUUUGGCUUCCACUGUGAGGGUAGGCUGCUUCUUCACAUGGGGUCUCCCACCAAAUGAGAGGAACUGUUGAGGGUGGCUAUUGAAAAUCGUCAUAUGUCACUAAUGGGCCCCCUCUUUGGCUGCCCAACCUUCAUUAAAAGCUUUCUUAUAAAUUUAUUUUUUAUUGGUGUUCAAUUUGCCAACAUAUAGAAUAACACCCAGUGCUCAUCCCAUCAAGUGCCCCCCUCAGUGUCCGUCACCCCCUCCCCCUGCCCACCUACCCUUCUACUACCCCUAGUUCAUUUCCCAGAGUUAGGAGUCUCUCAUGUUCUGUCUCCCUUUCUGAUAUUUCCCACUCAUUUUUCUCCUUUCCCCUUUAUUCCCUUUCACUAUUUUUUAUAUUCCCCAAAUGAAUGAGACCAUAUAAUGUUUGUCCUUCUCCGAUUGACUCAUUUCACUCAGCAUAAUACCCUCCAGUUCCAUCCAUGUUGAAGCAAAUGGUGGGUAUUUGUCGUUUCUAAUGG
rnacentral:lncRNA from 12 species